AGAGGAUAGCAGAGAGAACCAUUGCUAAUUGUCAUUGCUCAUCCUGGCCUCUUGCUUCUCAAAACUGGAAAAUAUGUUCUAUUUGUUACCGUAAAUGACUUUAGUUGGGUUACUUUCUUCAUCUAUUUGUAUAUAUUCAAAAUGGCACCCCUACACUUCAGUUCCUACCCAAAACUAUAUGCUUCAUUCUGACUUCCUGUGUAAUAACACAUUCGAGGGCUUAAAGAAAUGUCCCUUGUUUGUCUAUAGUAAAAUGUUGUUAACAGUCAGGACAAAUGGCUUACUCAGCUUUGUUCUCAGCUUGUUUAGACUAAACUAAUGCGCAAUGAAGAGUGGAGUCAAAAGUACAGUGCCUUGCUGUGACCAUUUCUGUCCUUUUAGCUCUCUACAACAAAGUAAAAAAAAAAAAAGUUCAACCAAAAAGAAAGAAAGAAAGAAUAAAUCUGAAUUAGUGCUCCACUUUUCUAAAAAAAAUAAUCAAA
rnacentral:lncRNA from 1 species